rnacentral:misc_RNA from 1 species
AAGUCGUAACAAGGUAACCGUAGGUGAACCUGCGGUUGGAUCAUUAAUGAUUUUAUUAAUGGGUGAUAAUCUCUACGCUAACCCGUAGUCGAUUUGAUCCCUGAACCUAAUGUGAACUGUUAAAGUCUCUGGCGAGACUUUGAGCUCGCCAGUAUUAUCUCAACAUGUUUAGUAGUACCUAGUCUUAUUUUAAUAAAACUAAUAUGAAACAACUUUUGACAACGGAUCUCUUGGCUCUC